AGCGAACGCUGGCGGCAGGCCUAACACAUGCAAGUCGAACGAACCUUUCGGGGUUAGUGGCGGACGGGUGAGUAACACGUGGGAACGUGCCUUUAGGUUCGGAAUAACUCAGGGAAACUUGUGCUAAUACCGAAUGUGCCCUUCGGGGGAAAGAUUCAUCGCCUUUAGAGCGGCCCGCGUCUGAUUAGCUAGUUGGUUGAGGUAAUGGCUCACCAAGGCGACGAUCAGUAGCUGGUCUGAGAGGAUGAUCAGCCACAUUGGGACUGAGACACGGCCCAAACUCCUGCGGGAGGCAGCAGUGGGGAAUCUUGCGCAAUGGGCGAAAGCCUGACGCAGCCAUGCCGCGUGAAUGAUGAAGGUCUUAGGAUUGUAAAAUUCUUUCACCGGGGACGAUAAUGACGGUACCCGGAGAAGAAGCCCCGGCUAACUUCGUG
rnacentral:rRNA from 1 species